rnacentral:rRNA from 1 species
GUGUCAGCAGCCGCGGUAAUACGUAGGGGGCGAGCGUUGUCCGGAAUUAUUGGGCGUAAAGCGCGCGCAGGCGGUCCUUUAAGUCUGAUGUGAAAGCCCACGGCUCAACCGUGGAGGGUCAUUGGAAACUGGGGGACUUGAGUGCAGGAGAGGAGAGCGGAAUUCCACGUGUAGCGGUGAAAUGCGUAGAGAUGUGGAGGAACACCAGUGGCGAAGGCGGCUCUCUGGCCUGUAACUGACGCUGAGGCGCGAAAGCGUGGGGAGCAAACAGGAUUAGAUACCCGAGUAGUCC